UUUUUUAUUCUGCAGAUUAUUCUGAUGCGUAACCAACAUUGAAAACCUCUUCCAUAAGUAUCUUCUAACUCCUAAAUGGAUUAGUGCCCAACUGGGCAUUUGUGUCCAUCAGAGUCUCCUAGCCACAUGGUUCAUCUCAAGAAAAUAAGUGCUAAACUUAGGAAGAACGUAGAGCAACUACCUAAGGAGGAGACAUUGGGUGUCAGCCAUGCUGCCUCACUACACAGGGACAUGGAGUUGUUCAUGGAAAGGACUGCUGGGACAAUGAGAUGCUAAUGUGUUAUUGGAUCAAAUAGUGAAAGCAUCUUGAUGCUGUAAAAGCUGUACAAAUAUUAUUUCAAAUAAUCGACUACUUAUUUCAGGGCCAAAGACUCCAGAGGCUACCCUUCCCUCUGAGCCUUAUACUUGUCCCCCAAAAUAGUAUACAGGAGAGAAAAUGUGGCAAGAAAUCUGUUUCUCUGGAAAGUCAAGAGAAAUGAGUGAUCCAAGAUGAGAAAAGGGACAGGCAGCGAAAGACAAGGAAGCAACUGGAAAAAUAGCAUAUCUGAUGGUCUCCAAGAUAUAUGAAUCUUUAGAUGGCCAGUAAAAGAGCUCUGAUACGGAAAGAUUUCACUCUGGACUGCUUUCCUCUAAAAGAAUUCUGAGCUACUUUCUGGAAAAAUUAUGACUAACAGGUACCUGGUGAGGACACGAUUUGUUGUCAGUAUUAGGACUGUCAUUCAAAGUAGGUCUUGUAGAUUUUAAAGCACUCAAUCAAGCUCAAGAAAAACCUUGUGUUUAAUUAUAUUCUCUCUCUCUUUUUUCCCUUCUCUCACAAAUUGCAUCCUCCUAUAUUACUAUACUAGAAGGACACAGAUGAAAUCACUAAGAACUAAGAGUCUAAGCAAACUUGAUGUCAUAAUAUCCACUCCAAUUUUCCAGAAGUUCAGGCAUAAAGGGACACAUUUGGAGUGGUCUCUACCUCAUGCUCUAAACCUUGAG